GAGUCUUUAGCUCAGUUGGUAGAGCACCUCACUUUUAAUGAGGGAGUCGAUGGUUCGAGUCCAUCAAGACUCA
rnacentral:tRNA from 2 species